GCCUGAUUUUCUUCUCUUCAUUCUCGCCGCAUCCUCUGUAAAAGAACAUCCAACCGGAGAUUUUGAACUGCAAAAAGGGACAUUUGGAAGCCUCUUCAUCAUGAGAGCUAAGUGGAAGAAGAAGCGAAUGAGGAGGUUGAAGAGGAAGAGAAGAAAGAUGAGGCAGAGAUCUAAGUAGUCUAAUUUUCUUUGGAGCUAGCAAUUGGAUCUCUCUGUCUUUACAUUUCUGUUGUUUGAUGGGUACUUUUCGUUAAAGGAUUAAAGUUGUUCUAUUUUUAUGUUUUAGUUUGGUAUUUUUGUUGAACCAUUUCCGUCUACUUGAAAAAUGGUAUUGAGUUUUUAAUUAACAUCAGCUUUUGGGUGUUAAAUUUUUGAUGGGUUUUGCUGAGGGUUGCAAUUACUGGGUAAAAUAUGGUUUAUUUUCUCUUGUUAUCUGUAAAAAAAUGUGUUCGAAAUUAUACAUGGAAGAUUAUGGUAAUAGAUUGAUUGUAGUUAGCAUAUAGUGAGUAGUUGACUAGGUUGAUGAGAUUGCUUAUUGCUGUCUUUGUGCCAUUACGGAAGUAUGAGAUAUGGGUAGCCAAUGCUUAUGCUUUUGGAUGCUUCAAGCUGUGAAUUUUAAGCCAUGAAACGGGUAAUCAAGGCUUGUGCUUGCAAUGAACAUGGAGCAGUCGGUGACCAAAUGGGAACCGAUCCCUUGUGUUUGUUGCAUAUACCCUCCAUGCCAAGAGUUAGUGCUUGUUACCGAGUGGGACACUAUUAAUGGCUUAAGCACUCUGAAUCUAUAUAGGAAAAGCGUCUUUGUGCGGUAUAGACUUGGAAGAGGUCAUAUUGUGUUGAUAGGAAAGCUCA